GGAAAUGGCAACCCACUCCAGUGUUCUUGCCUGGAGAAUCCCAGGGACGGGGGAGCCUGGUGGGCUGCCAUCUCUGGGGUCACACAGAGUCGGACAUGACUUAAGUGACUUAGCAGUAUAUGUUCUCAUUAAGUUUGGUUAUAAAGCCAGUGUUCCUAAUGAAAUAUCCUUUUCUCAUUUUUUCGUUGUAGGCCAGAUGUAUAUGUAUUUAAAAAGAAAUUCUAUCAUUGCGUGACUUUAAAAAACUUCCCUCAAGAAAAGAAAAAGUAGAGCAGAAAACUUUUGGCAAGAAAAGGUUUGAGAUUGUAUUUAGCCAUACAAUGGGGAAGAGGCUUCCAGUAUUAUACUUGCCAAGAGAGCUUGAUAGCGUUUUCCUACUCCACUCAUUUAAUUACAGAUUAACUGCUUCCACCCAUUGAAUACUGAUGCUAUUCGAUAUGCCACAUCACAAGCUAGCUUUCUUCUGACCUGGGUAACUGAGAGAUAUAUCUUCUCUUUGUUGUCUCUCCUGGCGCCUUCUUUACCUCUCCCCACCUUCUCUCUUUAUCUUCUCUUUUAUCACACAUACACACAGUAGCUGUCUCAUUCCAAAGAACAAAUGAUGCAGCAGCUUUUUACCAUUUAAUAUAAAAAAUUUUACGACACCACGAAUUUUCAUGUUACCCUGCCCCCACAACACAUUUUAAAUACAGGUUAUAUAUGUUGAGGGCUUCCCAGGUGGUGCUAGUGGUGAAGAAUCUGCCUGCCAAUGCAGGAGACUUAAGAGAGGGGUUCAAUCCCUGGGUCAGGAAGAUGCCCUGGAGGGCACAGCAACCCACUCUUGUCUGGAGAAUCCCAUGGACAGAAGAGCUUGACUACAGAUAGGGGAGCCUGCCUAUGGGGUUGAGGUCCAUAGGGUUGCAAAGUCAGACAUGACUGAAGUGACAUAGCACACACACACACACACACACACGUAUGUAGAAUGGUACAAAAUGGAUUCUCAAUAACCUUUCACUGAAUUAGAUGCUAGUGGUAGCAAAUUUCUUUGAACACAUAAGUCAGUAGUUAACAUGAACUGUUUACUGGCGAUUUGGGUGACCUUUGUUCAGGAACAAUCCGGCCUUUGAUGUUGAUGAAUUGCUUCUGAAACUUUACUUGUUCCAUUUCACUAUGAAUGUAUUCCUUGAAUAUAAAACAAGAGUAAUUCUCAGAGACGGGUACAAGCUCAUGUAUGGUCUUAAAUCCAUUGGGUUUUGUAGAUAUUCUGCUUCUGGUUAGUUUGUUUUUAUGGAAAUGAAAUAAAUGUUGGUAGGCUAGAUUUAAAUAAAUUCCAACAUUAAAAGGUAAUAGUGGGACAGAUAUUUUGAAAUGCUUGAAUUGUGCUGUUUUCUAAAACCUUGUCGUAGUGUCCCAUCUUUGUUAAUCACAAUGCUGUUGUUUUUUGUUUUCCAUUUGACUUCCACAGAUAACUCAGUCCUGGAGGCAUGCUGUGUAUUCCUUUGUUUUGUGCCAAGUCUGCCAACUAAAAUAAACACGCAAUGUAAUUUAAAUCGUGCAUGAUAUCAUCUCAAGUACUCCA